AACGGGGAUUCUUACGGCAUAGUUGUAUCGAACCGUGUCAGGACCGGAAGGUAGCAGCACUAAGGUAGGAUUGUGGGUGUAGGAUAUUCCUGCCUUUG
rnacentral:SRP_RNA from 1 species